AUUGAACGCUGGCGGCAUGCCUUACACAUGCAAGUCGAACGGCAGCACGGGUGCUUGCACCUGGUGGCGAGUGGCGAACGGGUGAGUAAUACAUCGGAACAUGUCCUGUAGUGGGGGAUAGCCCGGCGAAAGCCGGAUUAAUACCGCAUACGAUCUACGGAUGAAAGCGGGGGACCUUCGGGCCUCGCGCUAUAGGGUUGGCCGAUAGCUGAUUAGCUAGUUGGUGGGGUAAAGGCCUACCAAGGCGACGAUCAGUAGCUGGUCUGAGAGGACGAGCAGCCACACUGGGACUGAGACACGGCCCAGACUCCUACGGGAGGCAGCAGUGGGGAAUUUUGGACAAUGGGCGAAAGCCUGAUCCAGCAAUGCCGCGUGUGUGAAGAAGGCCUUCGGGUUGUAAAGCACUUUUGUCCGGAAAGAAAUCCUUGGCUCUAAUACAGUCGGGGGAUGACGGUACCGGAAGAAUAAGCACCGGCUAACUACGU
rnacentral:rRNA from 1 species